CCCUUAGAUGUUCUGGGCCGCACGCGCGCUACACUGACGAAUGCAACGAGCUUAUAACCUUGGCCGAAAGGUCUGGGUAAUCUCCAAAUUUCGUCGUGAUGGGGAUAGAUUAUUGCAAUUAUUAAUCUUCAACGAGGAAUGCCUAGUAAGCGCAAGUCAUCAGCUUGCGUUGAUUACGUCCCUGCCCUUUGUACACACCGCCCGUCGCUCCUACCGAUCGAAUGGUCCGGUGAAGCGUUCGGACCGUGGCCUUUGGACGGUUCGCCGUCUGUUGGCUGCGGGAAGUUCGUUAAACCUUAUCAUUUAGAGGAAGGAGAANUCGUANCA
rnacentral:rRNA from 1 species